rnacentral:lncRNA from 1 species
AAAGAAAAGAGUCUUCUCCAACUAAGUAAGAGCAGAAAGAAGUGGGAGAGAGGAGGGUCCUAGUCACUUUCUGUUUCCCUGAUUGCACUGCUGAUCUGAUGGUGCAGAGACCCCUCUGGAGUGACGUGCGUGAGUUCAGUGUGGAUAUACACCCUUCUGACUUGGCAUAACCGGCCUUAGUGGCUCUGAAGGAAGCCCUGAGCUGCGGAUUCCUCUCGUCUCUGCAUCUUUGUUUCUGACGUAUCAGGGAAAGUAUGGGAGAGGGUUUUAGAAAAAUGUAUCUCAACAGUAUGUCCAAACUCUAAAAUAA